rnacentral:rRNA from 1 species
CAGCCGCCGCGGGAAUACGUAGGUGGCAAGCGUUGUCCGGAAUUAUUGGGCGUAAAGCGCGCGCAGGUGGUUUAAUAAGUCUGAUGUGAAAGCCCACGGCUCAACCGUGGAGGGUCAUUGGAAACUGUUAAACUUGAGUGCAGGAGAGAAAAGUGGAAUUCCUAGUGUAGCGGUGAAAUGCGUAGAGAUAGGAGGAACGCCAGUGGCGAAGGCGGCUUUUUGGCCUGUAACUGACACUGAGGCGCGAAAGCGUGGGGAGCAAACAGGAUUAGAUACCCGAGUAGUCCCUGUCUCUUAUACA